AUGAUCAGUAGUAAUGAUCAGUAGUAAUGAUCAGUAGAAACGUUCAGCAGAAAUCCAGUAGAAACGUCCAGUAGAAACGUCCAGUAGAAACGUCCACUAGAAACGUCCAGUAGAAAUGUCCAGUAGAAACGUCCAGUAGAAACGUCCCGUAGAAAUGUGCAGUAGAAAUGAAACUGGAGAUUGUUUGUUUGAGCUGAAAUUAAAAAAGGGGGAAAAGCAACUAUUGGUGGAAAAAACAGUAAGAAACUAAAUCUGAGCGAAUUAACAGCUGAAGCGUUAAAAACGUGUGCAUUCGUUUGUUUCGCACGUUAUUGUUAUCUCUGAAAAUAUGUUUGGGUUUUUGGAUGGUAAAAAUACAUUCCAUGUCAGGUUACGUACAGUUGUGGUCUGGUGGUUAGAUUUACACCAAUCGUCCUGUUCAAAAGUUUACACCCCCUAGCGCUUAAUGUAUCGUGUUGUCUUCUUGAGCAUCAGUGAAUGUGCAUCUUAUGUAAUAGUUGUGUACGAGUCCCUCAGUUGUCGUGAGUGUGAAAAGACGGAUCUCAACAUCAUAUAGAGACCGUUAAAAGGAAAGGGCUCAAAUAUGCAGAAGAUACUGGAAAAGCGAAGAAUGUGCAGGAGAGGGAGGAUUUUUCUGAAGAACAGUGGGCAGUUUAACUGCUCAGGACGAACGAGAGACUCAUGAACAACUCCUACAAAACAUAAACACAGUCGUCGAUCCUCCAGGUAACGACACACAGGAUUAAGAAUCAAGGGGUUUUUUUUUCAUUAUUAACACUGUACAGAUUCUGCGAGGGGUGUGUAAACUUAUGAUUGCAACUGUAACUUUUAAACCAGUAGAGACGUGAGUCAGUUCUUCUUGAACCGGUAUUAUUGGAAAAGUACCACUGGUGUACUUAGAGGAGAAAAAAAAAGCUUCUUUAAGGCUUCUUUAAAGGGUCAUUGGAUGAUUUAGUUCUUCACCACCUAAAAGGAACCUGGACUCCUUUUAUGGUAGGGAGAUACUGUGUUUUAGGGUUCUCCAUAGCAUAUUUCCCCUAAGAGUGUAGGUUAUAACAUCAUAACAUGCAUGAUUCAUCUAAGCAUCAUGAACAAUAAACUCCAGCUUGUUACUUAGACAAAACUUGGAUUGAAUGGUCGUCUUCAAAAAAAUAGAUGUCCUAUUAAUGAAAUAAUAAAAAGAAAUGAUGAUCCACGAAUGUUUUAAUAUUUAAAACAUUCUUAUUUGUUUUCUUUUCAUUUAUUUAUGUACAUGUUUAGAUUGUGGAUGGGAGCCAAAGGAAUUCAAAAUUAUUUACAUAGGCAGCACUUGCCGUCAACUUUUUGAGCCCUUUUGAACUGCUUCUCUGACACAGAAAGGCAUGCCACAUGAAACCACCUCUUGCAGCAGUGACAAUCAAUCUGAAAAAGGAUCAUAGUGAUCUUAUCAAAUUGCUCGGUAAUCAAUUAGCU
ensembl:lncRNA